rnacentral:rRNA from 1 species
CUUAACACAUGCAAGUCGAGGGGCAGCAUUUCAGUUUGCUUGCAAACUGGAGAUGGCGACCGGCGCACGGGUGAGUAACACGUAUCCAACCUGCCGAUAACUCGGGGAUAGCCUUUCGAAAGAAAGAUUAAUACCCGAUGGUAUAAUCAGACCGCAUGGUCUUGUUAUUAAAGAAUUUCGGUUAUCGAUGGGGAUGCGUUCCAUUAGGCAGUUGGUGAGGUAACGGCUCACCAAACCUUCGAUGGAUAGGGGUUCUGAGAGGAAGGUCCCCCACAUUGGAACUGAGACACGGUCCAAACUCCUACGGGAGGCAGCAGUGAGGAAUAUUGGUCAAUGGGCGCAGGCCUGAACCAGCCAAGUAGCGUGAAGGAUGACUGCCCUAUGGGUUGUAAACUUCUUUUAUAUGGGAAUAAAGUUUUCCACGUGUGGAAUUUUGUAUGUACCAUAUGAAUAAGGAUCGGCUAACUCCGUGCCAGCAGCCGCGGUAAUACGGAGGAUCCGAGCGUUAUCCGGAUUUAUUGGGUUUAAAGGGAGCGUAGGUGGACAGUUAAGUCAGUUGUGAAAGUUUGCGGCUCAACCGUAAAAUUGCAGUUGAUACUGGCUGUCUUGAGUACAGUAGAGGUGGGCGGAAUUCGUGGUGUAGCGGUGAAAUGCUUAGAUAUCACGAAGAACUCCGAUUGCGAAGGCAGCUCACUGGACUGCAACUGACACUGAUGCUCGAAAGUGUGGGUAUCAAACAGGAUUAGAUACCCUGGUAGUCCACACAGUAAACGAUGAAUACUCGCUGUUUGCGAUAUACAGUAAGCGGCCAAGCGAAAGCAUUAAGUAUUCCACCUGGGGAGUACGCCGGCAACGGUGAAACUCAAAGGAAUUGACGGGGGCCCGCACAAGCGGAGGAACAUGUGGUUUAAUUCGAUGAUACGCGAGGAACCUUACCCGGGCUUAAAUUGCAUUUGAAUAUAUUGGAAACAGUAUAGCCGUAAGGCAAAUGUGAAGGUGCUGCAUGGUUGUCGUCAGCUCGUGCCGUGAGGUGUCGGCUUAAGUGCCAUAACGAGCGCAACCCUUAUCUUUAGUUACUAACAGGUCAUGCUGAGGACUCUAGAGAGACUGCCGUCGUAAGAUGUGAGGAAGGUGGGGAUGACGUCAAAUCAGCACGGCCCUUACGUCCGGGGCUACACACGUGUUACAAUGGGGGGUACAGAAGGCAGCUACCUGGUGACAGGAUGCUAAUCCCAAAAGCCUCUCUCAGUUCGGAUCGAAGUCUGCAACCCGACUUCGUGAAGCUGGAUUCGCUAGUAAUCGCGCAUCAGCCAUGGCGCGGUGAAUACGUUCCCGGGCCUUGUACACACCGCCCGUCAAGCCAUGAAAGCCGGGGGUACCUGAAGUACGUAACCGCAAGGAGCGUCCUAGGGUAAAACUGGUAAUUGGGGCUAAGUA